AAAUCGUACCCCAAACCGACACAGGUGGUCAGGUAGAGAAUACCAAGGCGCUUGAGAGAACUCGGGUGAAGGAACUAGGCAAAAUGGUGCCGUAACUUCGGGAGAAGGCACGCUGGUGUGUAGGUGAAGUCCCUGCGGAUGGAGCUGAGACCAGUCGAAGAUACCAGCUGGCUGCAACUGUUUAUUAAAAACACAGCACUGUGCAAACACGAAAGUGGACGUAUACGGUGUGACGCCUGCCCGGUGCCGGAAGGUUAAUUGAUGGGGUUAUCCGUAAGGAGAAGCUCUUGAUCGAAGCCCCGGUAAACGGCGGCCGUAACUAUAACGGUCCUAAGGUAGCGAAAUUCCUUGUCGGGUAAGUUCCGACCUGCACGAAUGGCGUAAUGAUGGCCAGGCUGUCUCCACCCGAGACUCAGUGAAAUUGAACUCGCUGUGAAGAUGCAGUGUACCCGCGGCAAGACGGAAAGACCCCGUGAACCUUUACUAUAGCUUGACACUGAACAUUGAGCCUUGAUGUGUAGGAUAGGUGGGAGGCUUUGAAGCGUGGACGCCAGUCUGCGUGGAGCCAACCUUGAAAUACCACCCUUUAAUGUUUGAUGUUCUAACGUUGGCCCCUAAUCGGGGUUGCGGACAGUGUCUGGUGGGUAGUUUGACUGGGGCGGUCUCCUCCCAAAGCGUAACGGAGGAGCACGAAGGUUAGCUAAUCCUGGUCGGACAUCAGGAGGUUAGUGCAAUGGCAUAAGCUAGCUUGACUGCGAGCGUGACGGCGCGAGCAGGUGCGAAAGCAGGUCAUAGUGAUCCGGUGGUUCUGAAUGGAAGGGCCAUCGCUCAACGGAUAAAAGGUACUCCGGGGAUAACAGGCUGAUACCGCCCAAGAGUUCAUAUCGACGGCGGUGUUUGGCACCUCGAUGUCGGCUCAUCACAUCCUGGGGCUGAAGUAGGUCCCAAGGGUAUGGCUGUUCGCCAUUUAAAGUGGUACGCGAGCUGGGUUUAGAACGUCGUGAGACAGUUCGGUCCCUAUCUGCCGUGGGCGCUGGAGAAUUGAGGGGGGCUGCUCCUAGUACGAGAGGACCGGAGUGGACGCAUCACUGGUGUUCGGGUUGUCAUGCCAAUGGCACUGCCCGGUAGCUAAAUGCGGAAGAGAUAAGUGCUGAAAGCAUCUAAGCACGAAACUUGCCCCGAGAUGAGUUCUCCCUGAGACUUUAAGUCUCCUGAAGGAACGUUGAAGACGACGACGUUGAUAGGCCGGGUGUGUAAGCGCAGCGAUGCGUUGAGCUAACCGGUACUAAUGAACCGUGAGGCUUAACCUU
rnacentral:rRNA from 1 species